rnacentral:tRNA from 1 species
UGGGAUGUGGCUCAGCGGUAGAGCACUCGCCUAGUACGGGAGCGACUCGGGUUCGAUUCUCAGCACCACAU